AUGGUCAGCAGAACAGAUCCUGCCAGCCUGGGCGAGCCUGGGCCGCAGCUCCUGCUGGAAACCCAGUAUUUCGGUGCUGGCACCCGGCUGACCGUCCUGGGUGAGCGGGGGCCCUGGGGACGGGGUGGGAGCGGGGGGUCUGCGCGGGCCUGGCGGGGGUGGCCAGGGGUCCGGCUGGUUUCUGCACGGAGCCCGCGGGCCGUGAGCGGAGGCGCAGACCUUCGGCACGGGCACCCGGCUGACCGUCCUGGGGCCAGGGGGCUUCUGCCGUGUCGUGUCGGAGGAGACCCCAGCUGGUUCCGGGCGGCGGGAGGUGCUGUGCCGGGGCGGCGACGGCAGGGGCGCGCGGGGUUUGCACACUGCGCGGGGGCCCUGUGCUCCUAUGAGCAGCACUUCGGCGGCGGCACCAGGCUCACUGUCAUAGAGAACCUGGACAAGGUGAAAGCACCACAGGUGACCAUCUUUGAGCCCUCCCCGGCCGAGAUCUCCAGCACUCAGAAGGCCACACUCGUGUGUCUGGCCACCGGCUUCUACCCUGACCACGUGGAGCUGAGCUGGUGGGUGAACGGCAAAGAGGCCAUCAGCGGGGUCAGCACGGACCCCCAGCCCCGCCAGGAGCAGCCCGGCAGCCAGGGCUCCCCCUACGCUCUGAGCAGCCGCCUGAGGGUGGAGGCCGCCUUCUGGCACAACCCCAGGAACCACUUCCGCUGCCAGGUCCAGUUCUACGGCGUGGACGAGGACCAAGAGUGGGACCUGUCCACACCCAAGCCUGUCACCCAGAAAAUCAACGCUGAGGCCUGGGGCCGAGCAGACUGUGGCUUCACCUCGGUGUCCUACAAGCAGGGGCUCCUCUCGGCCACUGUCCUCUAUGAGGUCCUGCUGGGGAAGGCUGCCCUGUAUGCCGUGCUGGUCAGCGCCCUGGUGCUGGUGGCCAUGGUCAAGAAGAAGGACUUGUGA